AGAACACUUAGCUUUCAGACAAAAAAAAAAAAGGCAAGAGAAAACUUUGCUCUGUUCAACCAAACCCUCUCUCACUCACUCUCUCUGUCAUCUCUGUAACCUAGAGAGAUGACGUGAAGCCACACCCAAUGCCGCUCAUCUUUACAUCCCAUUCUCUCACUCACACUCUGUCUCUCUGCUCAACCCCAAAUCUAACCCAUCCACCAACCCACUAUCAAAACCCACUCCUCCUUUUGUCCCUAAGGUCAAGUGAAAAUCCAGUCCCAAGCUUUCAUAAUUUGUGUUCAGCUUGUUUAUUGUCAGUCAAUGAGCAGAAUUUGAAGAAGGUCCUCAAAAUCGUUUGCGCACAAAGAAGGGCCUGAUUUGGAUUCGAGUUCUUAUUGAGUUGGUCCUGAUUCAGAGCUUAUUUGGGACUGGUUUAUUAAAAGGUUGUUGAAUUAUUUGCUUAAGAGGUACUUUUUUAAUUUAUGCAGUUUUGCUGUUGGUGGAUUUGUAAUUAAGGUUUUGUGGGUUAUGAAAAUUUACAAAUUUUGCUUGAUUUGUAUGAUUGCAUAUGAUUUUGGUUGUUGAAUUGCAUAUAAUUUUUGUUUUUUUUUUAAUUUCCAUAUUAUUUUUAUAGCAAUAAAUGAUAUAAAAAUUCUAAAUACAUAUUUAGUAAUUGAACAGAUUCAGUACUUUGGAAAA